ACUAAGCGUACACGGUGGAUGCCCUGGCAGUCAGAGGCGAUGAAGGACGUGCUAAUCUGCGAUAAGCGUCGGUGAGGUGAUAUGAACCGUUAUAACCGGCGAUUUCCGAAUGGGGAAACCCAGUGUGUUUCGACACACUAUCAUUAACUGAAUCCAUAGGUUAAUGAGGCGAACCGGGGGAACUGAAACAUCUAAGUACCCCGAGGAAAAGAAAUCAACCGAGAUUCCCCCAGUAGCGGCGAGCGAACGGGGAGGAGCCCAGAGCCUGAAUCAGUGUGUGUGUUAGUGGAAGUGUCUGGAAAGGCGCGCGAUACAGGGUGACAGCCCCGUACACAAAAAUGCACAUUUUGUGAGCUCGAUGAGUAGGGCGGGACACGUGGUAUCCUGUCUGAAUAUGGGGGGACCAUCCUCCAAGGCUAAAUACUCCUGACUGACCGAUAGUGAACCAGUACCGUGAGGGAAAGGCGAAAAGAACCCCGGCGAGGGGAGUGAAAAAGAACCUGAAACCGUGUACGUACAAGCAGUGGGAGCCUCUUAAUGGGGUGACUGCGUACCUUUUGUAUAAUGGGUCAGCGACUUAUAUUCUGUAGCAAGGUUAACCGAAUAGGGGAGCCGAAGGGAAACCGAGUCUUAACUGGGCGUUAAGUUGCAGGGUAUAGACCCGAAACCCGGUGAUCUAGCCAUGGGCAGGUUGAAGGUUGGGUAACACUAACUGGAGGACCGAACCGACUAAUGUUGAAAAAUUAGCGGAUGACUUGUGGCUGGGGGUGAAAGGCCAAUCAAACCGGGAGAUAGCUGGUUCUCCCCGAAAGCUAUUUAGGUAGCGCCUCGUGAAUUCAUCUCCGGGGGUAGAGCACUGUUUCGGCAAGGGGGUCAUCCCGACUUACCAACCCGAUGCAAACUGCGAAUACCGGAGAAUGUUAUCACGGGAGACACACGGCGGGUGCUAACGUCCGUCGUGAAGAGGGAAACAACCCAGACCGCCAGCUAAGGUCCCAAAGUCAUGGUUAAGUGGGAAACGAUGUGGGAAGGCCCAGACAGCCAGGAUGUUGGCUUAGAAGCAGCCAUCAUUUAAAGAAAGCGUAAUAGCUCACUGGUCGAGUCGGCCUGCGCGGAAGAUGUAACGGGGCUAAACCAUGCACCGAAGCUGCGGCAGCGACACUGUGUGUUGUUGGGUAGGGGAGCGUUCUGUAAGCCUGCGAAGGUGUGCUGUGAGGCAUGCUGGAGGUAUCAGAAGUGCGAAUGCUGACAUAAGUAACGAUAAAGCGGGUGAAAAGCCCGCUCGCCGGAAGACCAAGGGUUCCUGUCCAACGUUAAUCGGGGCAGGGUGAGUCGACCCCUAAGGCGAGGCCGAAAGGCGUAGUCGAUGGGAAACAGGUUAAUAUUCCUGUACUUGGUGUUACUGCGAAGGGGGGACGGAGAAGGCUAUGUUGGCCGGGCGACGGUUGUCCCGGUUUAAGCGUGUAGGCUGGUUUUCCAGGCAAAUCCGGAAAACCAAGGCUGAGGCGUGAUGACGAGGCACUACGGUGCUGAAGCGACAAAUGCCCUGCUUCCAGGAAAAGCCUCUAAGCAUCAGGUAACAUCAAAUCGUACCCCAAACCGACACAGGUGGUCAGGUAGAGAAUACCAAGGCGCUUGAGAGAACUCGGGUGAAGGAACUAGGCAAAAUGGUGCCGUAACUUCGGGAGAAGGCACGCUGAUAUGUAGGUGAAGCGACUUGCUCGUGGAGCUGAAAUCAGUCGAAGAUACCAGCUGGCUGCAACUGUUUAUUAAAAACACAGCACUGUGCAAACACGAAAGUGGACGUAUACGGUGUGACGCCUGCCCGGUGCCGGAAGGUUAAUUGAUGGGGUUAGCGGCAACGCGAAGCUCUUGAUCGAAGCCCCGGUAAACGGCGGCCGUAACUAUAACGGUCCUAAGGUAGCGAAAUUCCUUGUCGGGUAAGUUCCGACCUGCACGAAUGGCGUAAUGAUGGCCAGGCUGUCUCCACCCGAGACUCAGUGAAAUUGAACUCGCUGUGAAGAUGCAGUGUACCCGCGGCAAGACGGAAAGACCCCGUGAACCUUUACUAUAGCUUGACACUGAACAUUGAGCCUUGAUGUGUAGGAUAGGUGGGAGGCUUUGAAGUGUGGACGCCAGUCUGCAUGGAGCCGACCUUGAAAUACCACCCUUUAAUGUUUGAUGUUCUAACGUUGGCCCCUAAUCGGGGUUGCGGACAGUGUCUGGUGGGUAGUUUGACUGGGGCGGUCUCCUCCUAAAGAGUAACGGAGGAGCACGAAGGUUGGCUAAUCCUGGUCGGACAUCAGGAGGUUAGUGCAAUGGCAUAAGCCAGCUUGACUGCGAGCGUGACGGCGCGAGCAGGUGCGAAAGCAGGUCAUAGUGAUCCGGUGGUUCUGAAUGGAAGGGCCAUCGCUCAACGGAUAAAAGGUACUCCGGGGAUAACAGGCUGAUACCGCCCAAGAGUUCAUAUCGACGGCGGUGUUUGGCACCUCGAUGUCGGCUCAUCACAUCCUGGGGCUGAAGUAGGUCCCAAGGGUAUGGCUGUUCGCCAUUUAAAGUGGUACGCGAGCUGGGUUUAGAACGUCGUGAGACAGUUCGGUCCCUAUCUGCCGUGGGCGCUGGAGAACUGAGGGGGGCUGCUCCUAGUACGAGAGGACCGGAGUGGACGCAUCACUGGUGUUCGGGUUGUCAUGCCAAUGGCACUGCCCGGUAGCUAAAUGCGGAAGAGAUAAGUGCUGAAAGCAUCUAAGCACGAAACUUGCCCCGAGAUGAGUUCUCCCUGAGACUUAGAGUCUCCUGAAGGAACGUUGAAGACGACGACGUUGAUAGGCCGGGUGUGUAAGCGCAGCGAUGCGUUGAGCUAACCGGUACUAAUGAACCGUGAGGCUUAACC
rnacentral:rRNA from 1 species